rnacentral:rRNA from 1 species
CCUACGGUGGGCAGCAGUGAGGAAUAUUGGUCAAUGGACGAGAGUCUGAACCAGCCAAGUAGCGUGAAGGAUGACUGCCCUAUGGGUUGUAAACUUCUUUUAUAAAGGAAUAAAACGAGGCACGUGUGCCUUUUUGCAUGUACUUUAUGAAUAAGGAUCGGCUAACUCCGUGCCAGCAGCCGCGGUAAUACGGAGGAUCCGAUCGUUAUCCGGAUUUAUUGGGUUUAAAGGGGGCGUAGAUGGGUUGUUAAGUCAGUUGUGAAAGUUUGCGGCUCAACCGUAAAAUUGCAAUUGAUACUGGCAGUCUUGAGUACAGUUGAGGUAGGCGGAAUUCGUGGUGUAGCGGUGAAAUGCUUAGAUAUCACGAAGAACCCCGAUUGCGAAGGCAGCUUACUAAACUGUGACUGACAUUGAUGCUCGAGAGUGUGGGUAUCAAACAGGAUUAGAUACCCGUGUAGUC